rnacentral:rRNA from 1 species
UACAUUUGAGUGAGUGGCGAACUUGGUGAGUAACACGUGGGAAACCUGCCCAGAAGCGGGGGAUAACACCUGGAAACAGAUGCUAAUACCGCAUAACAACUUGGACCGCAUGGUCCGAGCUUGAAAGAUGGCUUCGGCUAUCACUUUUGGAUGGUCCCGCGGCGUAUUAGCUAGAUGGUGGGGUAACGGCUCACCAUGGCAAUGAUACGUAGCCGACCUGAGAGGGUAAUCGGCCACAUUGGGACUGAGACACGGCCCAAACUCCUACGGGAGGCAGCAGUAGGGAAUCUUCCACAAUGGACGAAAGUCUGAUGGAGCAACGCCGCGUGAGUGAAGAAGGGUUUCGGCUCGUAAAACUCUGUUGUUAAAGAAGAACAUAUCUGAGAGUAACUGUUCAGGUAUUGACGGUAUUUAACCAGAAAGCCACGGCUAACUACGUGCCAGCAGCCGCGGUAAUACGUAGGUGGCAAGCGUUGUCCGGAUUUAUUGGGCGUAAAGCGAGCGCAGGCGGUUUUUUAAGUCUGAUGUGAAAGCCUUCGGCUCAACCGAAGAAGUGCAUCGGAAACUGGGAAACUUGAGUGCAGAAGAGGACAGUGGAACUCCAUGUGUAGCGGUGAAAUGCGUAGAUAUAUGGAAGAACACCAGUGGCGAAGGCGGCUGUCUGGUCUGUAACUGACGCUGAGGCUCGAAAGUAUGGGUAGCAAACAGGAUUAGAUACCCUGGUAGUCCAUACCGUAAACGAUGAAUGCUAAGUGUUGGAGGGUUUCCGCCCUUCAGUGCUGCAGCUAACGCAUUAAGCAUUCCGCCUGGGGAGUACGGCCGCAAGGCUGAAACUCAAAGGAAUUGACGGGGGCCCGCACAAGCGGUGGAGCAUGUGGUUUAAUUCGAAGCUACGCGAAGAACCUUACCAGGUCUUGACAUACUAUGCAAAUCUAAGAGAUUAGACGUUCCCUUCGGGGACAUGGAUACAGGUGGUGCAUGGUUGUCGUCAGCUCGUGUCGUGAGAUGUUGGGUUAAGUCCCGCACGAGCGCAACCCUUAUUAUCAGUUGCCAGCAUUAAGUUGGGACUCUGGUGAGACUGCCGGUGACAAACCGGAGGAAGGUGGGGAUGACGUCAAAUCAUCAUGCCCCUUAUGACCUGGGCUACACACGUGCUACAAUGGAUGGUACAACGAGUUGCGAACUCGCGAGAGUAAGCUAAUCUCUUAAAGCCAUUCUCAGUUCGGAUUGUAGGCUGCAACUCGCCUACAUGAAGUCGGAAUCGCUAGUAAUCGCGGAUCAGCAUGCCGCGGUGAAUACGUUCCCGGGCCUUGUACACACCGCCCGUCACACCAUGAGAGUUUGUAACACCCAAAGUCGGUGG